GGUCCCCCUUGUGGUCGGUGUACAGGUGGUGCAUGGCUGUCGUCAGCUCGUGUCGUGAGAUGUUGGGUUAAGUCCCGCAACGAGCGCAACCCUUGUCCCGUGUUGCCAGCAGGCCCUUGUGGUGCUGGGGACUCACGGGAGACCGCCGGGGUCAACUCGGAGGAAGGUGGGGACGACGUCAAGUCAUCAUGCCCCUUAUGUCUUGGGCUGCACACGUGCUACAAUGGCCGGUACAAUGAGCUGCGAUACCGCGAGGUGGAGCGAAUCUCAAAAAGCCGGUCUCAGUUCGGAUUGGGGUCUGCAACUCGACCCCAUGAAGUCGGAGUCGCUAGUAAUCGCAGAUCAGCAUUGCUGCGGUGAAUACGUUCCCGGGUCUUGUACACACCGA
rnacentral:rRNA from 1 species